CAGUAGCCACGGGAAUACGGAGGGUGCAAGCGUUAAUCGGAAUUACUGGGCGUAAAGCGCACGCAGGCGGUCUGUCAAGUCAGAUGUGAAAUCCCCGGGCUUAACCUGGGAACUGCAUUUGAAACUGGCAGGCUGGAGUCUUGUAGAGGGGGGUAGAAUUCCAGGUGUAGCGGUGAAAUGCGUAGAGAUCUGGAGGAAUACCGGUGGCGAAGGCGGCCCCCUGGACAAAGACUGACGCUCAGGUGCGAAAGCGUGGGGAGCAAACAGGAUUAGAUACCCCGGUAGUCCCUGUCUCUUAUAU
rnacentral:rRNA from 1 species